rnacentral:rRNA from 1 species
GACAGAGGGUGCAAACGUUGCUCGGAAUUACUGGGCGUAAAGCGCGUGUAGGCGGUUUCGCAAGUCAGGUGUGAAAGCCCAGGGCUCAACCCUGGAAGUGCACUUGAUACUACGGAGCUGGAGAUCUGAAGAGGAGAGCGGAAUUCCCGGUGUAGAGGUGAAAUUCGUAGAUAUCGGGAGGAACACCAGUGGCGAAGGCGGCUCUCUGGGCAGAAUCUGACGCUGAGACGCGAAAGCGUGGGGAGCGAACAGG